UACGAAGGGGGCUAGCGUUGCUCGGAAUCACUGGGCGUAAAGCGCACGUAGGCGGACUCUUAAGUCAGGGGUGAAAUCCUGGAGCUCAACUCCAGAACUGCCCUUGAUACUGGGAGCCUUGAGUUCGGGAGAGGUGAGUGGAACUGCGAGUGUAGAGGUGAAAUUCGUAGAUAUUCGCAAGAACACCAGUGGUGAAGGCGGCUCACUGGCCCGAUACUGACGCUGAGGUGCGAAAGCGUGGGGAGCAAACAGG
rnacentral:rRNA from 1 species